rnacentral:lncRNA from 1 species
AGCCCUGAUCGGAUCUUCCUUCAUGGGAGUGCUAACUCGCGUCGAAAGCUCUAGAUGGCUGAUCCAAGCUCCUUUCUUUAGAUCUCUUAGACUUUUUCAAAUCAGAAGAUAAAAUUUUAUAAGGAGGUGGUGGUGUGAAAGAUUGAACAAGACUUACUCUUGUAUUUUUCUUCUCACAAAAUCUAGAGUUGAAACCCUAGAUCCUACACCUCACACC